rnacentral:sRNA from 1 species
UCCCGGAUUUUAUUGAACAUUCUACUAGA